GAACGCUGGCGGCAUGCUUUACACAUGCAAGUCCGCGACGGCAGCACAGAGAAGCUUGCUUCUUGGGUGGCGAGUGGCGAACGGGUGAGUAACAUAUCGGAACGUACCGAGUAGUGGGGGAUAACUGAUCGAAAGAUCAGCUAAUACCGCAUACGUCUUGAGAGGGAAAGCAGGGGACCUUCGGGCCUUGCGCUAUUCGAGCGGCCGAUAUCUGAUUAGCUAGUUGGUGGGGUAAAGGCCUACCAAGGCGACGAUCAGUAGCGGGUCUGAGAGGAUGAUCCGCCACACUGGGACUGAGACACGGCCCAGACUCCUACGGGAGGCAGCAGUGGGGAAUUUUGGACAAUGGGCGCAAGCCUGAUCCAGCCAUGCCGCGUGUCUGAAGAAGGCCUUCGGGUUGUAAAGGACUUUUGUCAGGGAAGAAAAGGCUGUUGCUAAUAUCAGCGGCUGAUGACGGUACCUGAAGAAUAAGCACCGGCUAACUACGUGCCAGCAGCCGCGGUAAUACGUAGGGUGCGAGCGUUAAUCGGAAUUACUGGGCGUAAAGCGAGCGCAGACGGUUACUUAAGCAGGAUGUGAAAUCCCCGGGCUCAACCUGGGAACUGCGUUCUGAACUGGGUGACUAGAGUGUGUCAGAGGGAGGUAGAAUUCCACGUGUAGCAGUGAAAUGCGUAGAGAUGUGGAGGAAUACCGAUGGCGAAGGCAGCCUCCUGGGAUAACACUGACGUUCAUGCUCGAAAGCGUGGGUAGCAAACAGGAUUAGAUACCCUGGUAGUCCACGCCCUAAACGAUGUCAAUUAGCUGUUGGGCAACUUGAUUGUUCAGUAGCGUAGCUAACGCGUGAAAUUGACCGCCUGGGGAGUACGGUCGCAAGAUUA
rnacentral:rRNA from 1 species